GUCCCUGAGUGACUCUUUGGCUCAAACUGUUCUGGUUUGUGGAAGACACGCCUGUUUUCUUCCCUGGGCUAACUGUGAAGCUCAGAAGAGGAAGAAGGGCCCGGAUGGCAGAUGAACCGCACAGGGCUGUGUGGCCUCAGCCCCGCAGCUGGGGAGCUCAGUGGCCUCCUGGAGGAGAAGCUGACUUUGGAGGACCUGGAACACCAUGGCUGCUGGGAGUUGGGGCUGUGCGGGAGGCUUCUGUCUCUGUGUGGCGUUUGGUCAUAACCACUGGACUUUGGAACAUCCUGCUUAAAACCACAACUUUGGCUGG
ensembl:lncRNA novel transcript